ACAUUUCCUAUGGUUCACAGUUUACAAACCAGAAAACCUCAAUGUUUACUCCAAUUUCCUGCAUUCUUUUUGACAAAGGUCACUAAAUAUUUGUGUAAACAUUCCCUCCGGGCUUCGGCGGAGGCCGAUCAUUAUAUCACCGGUUACCGCACUGCAUCUGGACAAAAAUAUAGAACGAUACAACAAGGUGACCGCCAAACACUCUUCCGGACCGGUGAAGGUCCGCCGACCGAACUGUACCUGGCCGCUCUGCUUACAGCGACCAGUUCAGUCAAGUCUCGUUUUAAUAUCUCGACUUUUUGGUGCUGUAAUUAUAAAGUUACAUACGUGAGUGUUUGUGAUUAUGUCCGGUGUUGUUAUGUAAUUGUAUUGAGCAGAAUGUGGAUCAUCGGCAAUAAUAAUUUGGAUAUAACGUUGUAAUUACUCGAAUUAGCUUCAGACAAUGGCGUGUCGCAACGUGGCCCACUGGCGGGUUCCCAGGCGCCGAUACCAGAUGCACAACACUCGAUACUCGGCGGAAACAAUGGAGAGCAGGGUGAGUCCCCGCACCCCCCGCUGCUGUGCUGAUGAAAGUAUCGGAGAGGUAGCAGUUCCCACGCGUUUGCACAACGCCCCCGCGCCGCGCUGUGUUACCACAGAUUACACAUGUGACGCUGCUCGUGAGUGCACUCCACCAGUGGCAGCGGCUGGCGCUGUCAGCCACGUGUUACAGGCUUCGCAAGGGGUCGCAGCUCGUAGGUAGUGAUGGCGGUUCAUUCAGCUCCGUGGCAAACUCUCCCGCGCGCCGCUCCACAGUCACUCUCGUCAAGAGCCGCCUCCCUAACUACUGGCGAGCGCUAGGCUAGUGUAUGCACAUCGCCCACCGCCGGCUCUUACACCUCUUUAAACUCCCCAAAACAAAUGUGUGUGGCAAGCCACGGGCUGGACGUCAUUUGUAUUAUGACGACUUCCAUAAACUCUAGAUCUCCCAACAAUGGCUCAAUACACGAAGCAACUCUCGAAAACCAUUUUGAGAGAGCCACUUCUCAUCCCUACGGAUUAGUGCGAUUGAAG
rnacentral:lncRNA from 1 species